AGCGAACGCUGGCGGCAGGCCUAACACAUGCAAGUCGAGCGCCGUAGCAAUACGGAGCGGCAGACGGGAUAGUAACACGUGGGAACGUGCCCUUUGGUUCGGAAUAACUCAGUGAAACUUGAGCUAAUACCGGAUGAGCCCUUACGGGGAAAGAUUUAUUGCCAUUGGAGCGGCCCGCGUCGGAUUAGCUAGUUGUUGGGGUAAUGGCUCACCAAGGCGACGAUCCGUAGCUGGUCUGAGAGGAUGACCAGCAUCACGGGGACUGAGACACGGCCCAGACUCCUACGGGAGGCAGCAGUGGGGAAUAUUGGACAAUGGGCGCAAGCCUGAUCCAGCCAUGCCGCGUGGAUGAUGAAGGCCCUAGGGUUGUAAAGUCCUUUUAACGGGGAAGAUAAUGACGGUACCCGUAGAAUAAGCCCCGGCUAACUUCGUGCCAGCCGCCGCCGUAA
rnacentral:rRNA from 1 species